UCAUUGAUUGGUGGUUGCCAUGGCUGCAGGCAUUUAGCUUGGCAAUAUGGCGUCGGCGGGUUGGCGAAGGCCGCCACUUUUUCUCUUCCAGGCUAUUCUGGGUUUCUGAGGCAGGCCGGCCCGGGUAUGGGCUCUCUGUCACCGCUCAGCCUCCUGUGGGGACUCCUCCUGCUGCAGGGCGUCCUGAGGCCGCUGCGCGGGGACCCAGGUGUGUAUGGUGAGGGUAUGGCCUGCAUGGCCCAGGCUGAGGGAAUCUGGCUCUUAAAGGGCCAGACCUGGGGUUCCUAGGAUCCCGGAAGCCAGGCCACAUAAAAAGCCAGCACACGCACCCCAGGUACAGGUUCUGUACCCGUUAACCCCUCCCCGCACAUCCUUCCUUCCCUCAGUUUUCAUCCCACCUUUCAUCCGGAUGUCCAGCCCUGAGGUCCAAGCGACCCUGGUCGGAGGCAGCGAGGAUGUCGCCGUGUCUCUGACUCUGCUGCAGGUCGAGGAAGGAGUGUUGCCAGUUCCUACUUGUGGCGGCCGCCGCAAUGAGACAGAGGAUUGGAAUGUGACUGUGAGCCCCCGAGAGAGCACGCUGGAAGUGACCAUAAGGUGGAAGAGGGGUCUAGACUGGUGCUCCGCAGACGAGACAGCC
ensembl:processed_transcript Tctn2 tectonic family member 2